rnacentral:sRNA from 1 species
AAUUAUUGUCAGGCGGCAAAGAACUGUGAUAACUCUUUAAGCAUUAGCUCAGAAGGCAACAGAAAAAACUAUUUAUGAAAACUCUCGUUCAAGUACUCAGCCUCGUCGUGAUUAGUGUGGUGGUGAUUAUUAUCCCACCGUGCGGGGCAGCACUUGGACGAAGAAAGGCUUAAAAAUCAGGCCUGAAUCAAACGAGAACCCCCGCACCGAAAGGUCCGGGGGUUUUUUUUCGCAAUGAAAAAGUGAUAGGGAACAACAAAUGGCUAACAGAAUAAAAUCCUGUUGUCCCAGUAA